UCUUAUGAAUGAGGAAACAAAGUGGUUUCCUGAGAUGGAAUCUAUUCCUCGUAAAGAUGCUGUGAA
rnacentral:pre_miRNA from 1 species